CCUACGGGAGGCAGCAGUAGGGAAUCUUUCACAAUGGGCGAAAGCCUGAUGGAGCAACGCCGCGUGCAGGAUGUAGGCCUUCGGGUUGUAAACUGCUUUUAUAAGCGAGAAAUAUGAUGGUAACUUAUGAAUAAGGAUCGGCUAACUACGUGCCAGCAGCCGCGGUCAUACGUAGGAUCCGAGCAUUAUCCGGAGUGACUGGGUGUAAAGAGUUGCGUAGGUGGCAUAAUAAGUAGCUAGUGAAAUCUGGUGGCGCAACCAUUCAGACUAUUAGCUAAACUGUUAAGCUCGAGACCGUUAGGGGUAACUGGAAUUUCUAGUGUAGGAGUGAAAUCCGUAGAUAUUAGAAGGAACACCAAUAGCGUAGGCAGGUUGCUGGGACGGUUCUGACACUAAGGCACGAAAGCGUAGGGAGCAAACGGGAUUAGAUACCCCUGUAGUC
rnacentral:rRNA from 1 species